rnacentral:rRNA from 1 species
UACAUGUGGGGCAAGCGUUGUUCGGAAUUACUGGGCAUAAAGGGUGCGUAGGCGGCUUGAUAAGUCAGUGGUGAAAUCCGGUGGCCCAACCAUCGAACUGCCAUUGAUACUGUUGAGCUUGAGUGCGUGAGGGGUAACCGGAACGAGUGGUGUAGCGGUGAAAUGCGUAGAUAUCACUCGGAAGGCCAACGGCGAAGGCAGGUUACUGGUGCGCAACUGACGCUGAGGCACGAAAUCGUGGGGAGCAAACAGG